rnacentral:tRNA from 1 species
UUGUUGAUGGCUGAGCAAUAAGCGAUAGACUGUAGAUCUAUUAACGGAACUAAUUUUCUCAACAAA